ACCACACGCAUUCACAAACCUUCACCAUUCUUAUUUCUUUCACUAUCUAGGGUUUCUUUUUUUCACAAAUAAUACGCCGUCGCAGUCUCGCCUAUCAAUCUCCCAUCUUCGAUCUCACCCUUCUUCCACCUUCCAUCUCUGGUCAACGAAGGCUUUCUGUCCGACGAUACUUGGCUAAUCUUUGGUUUUUGAGUUUCGAAUCUUCAUCUGGAUACUUUCAAUUUCUGCUUCAUAAGGUUUGAAAGGUGGAAUUGCAGGUUUAAAAGGGAUGGAUGUUUACAAGCGCUUAUGGAUGUUUAUCGUUUUUAUUGAUUAAUUGUCGAACUACUUUUGGAUUUUAUGUCUUGUUUUAAAUGUUUGUGGUUUGUUUUGAAACUUUGAUUUGUUUUGAAUUGGUUACUGAACUGUUUAAAUUUGAAUGUUAUUUGAUGUUUUAGA